rnacentral:rRNA from 1 species
GAUGAACGCUGGCGGCGUGCCUAAUACAUGCAGGUCGAGCGAACAGACGAGGAGCUUGCUCCUCUGACGUUAGCGGCGGACGGGCGAGUAACACGUGGAUAACCUACCUAUAAGACUGGGAUAACUUCGGGAAACCGGAGCUAAUACCGGAGAAUAUAUUGAACCGCAUGGUUCAAUAGUGAAAGACGGUUUUGCUGUCACUUAUAGAUGGAUCCGCGCCGCAUUAGCUAGUUGGUAAGGUAACGGCUUACCAAGGCAACGAUGCGUAGCCGACCUGAGAGGGUGAUCGGCCACACUGGAACUGAGACACGGUCCAGACUCCUACGGGAGGCAGCAGUAGGGAAUCUUCCGCAAUGGGCGAAAGCUUGACGGAGCAACGCCGCGUGAGUGAUGAAGGUCUUCGGAUCGUAAAACUCUGUUAUUAGGGAAGAACAAAUGUGUAAGUAACUAUGCACGUCUUGACGGUACCUAAUCAGAAAGCCACGGCUAACUACGUG